GUGUGCCUACGGGGGGCAGCAGUAGGGAAUUUUCGUCAAUGGGGGAAACCCUGAACGAGCAAUGCCGCGUGAGUGAAGAAGGCCUUCGGGUCGUAAAGCUCUGUUGUAAGAGAAAAACGGUAAUGAUAGGAAAUGAUCAUUAAGUGAUGGUAUCUUACGAGGAAGCCACGGCUAACUACGUGCCAGCAGCCGCGGUAAUACGUAGGGCGCGAGCGUUAAUCGGAAUUACUGGGCGUAAAGCGCGCGUAGGCUGUUGUGUAAGUUGGGGGUGAAAUCCCACGGCUCAACCGUGGAACAGCCCUUGG
rnacentral:rRNA from 1 species